UUGCUUUGGCAGCACAUAUACUAAAAUCGGAACGAUACACGGAAGAUUACCAUGGCCCCUGCUCAAGGAGGACAUGACAAUUUGUGAAGCUUCCAUAUUUUG
ensembl:snRNA U6 U6 spliceosomal RNA